GAUGAACGCUGGCGGCGUGCUUAACACAUGCAAGUCGAACGAUGAAGCCCAGCUUGCUGGGUGGAUUAGUGGCGAACGGGUGAGUAACACGUGAGUAACCUGCCCUUAACUCUGGGAUAAGCCUUGGAAACUGGGUCUAAUACCCGAUAGGAGCGUCCACCGCAUGGUGGGUGUUGGAAAGAUUUAUCGGUUUUGGAUGGACUCGCGGCCUAUCAGCUUGUUGGUGAGGUAUUGGCUCACCAAGGCGACGACGGGUAGCCGGCCUGAGAGGGUGACCGGCCACACUGGGACUGAGACACGGCCCAGACUCCUACGGGAGGCAGCAGUGGGGAAUAUUGCACAAUGGGCGCAAGCCUGAUGCAGCGACGCCGCGUGAGGGAUGACGGCCUUCGGGUUGUAAACCUCUUUCAGUAGGGAAGAAGCGAAAGUGACGGUACCUGCAGAAGAAGCACCGGCUAACUACGUG
rnacentral:rRNA from 1 species